rnacentral:rRNA from 1 species
UACGUAGGGGGCUAGCGUUGUCCGGAAUCAUUGGGCGUAAAGCGCGUGUAGGCGGUCCGGUAAGUCCGCUGUGAAAGUCGGGGGCUCAACCCUCGAAAGCCGGUGGAAACUGUCGGGCUAGAGUACGGAAGAGGCGAGUGGAAUUCCUGGUGUAGCGGUGAAAUGCGCAGAUAUCAGGAAGAACACCAACGGCGAAGGCAGCUCGCUAGGACGGUACUGACGCUGAGACGCGAAAGCGUGGGGAGCGAACAGG